UGAGGGGGGCUGCUCCUAGUACGAGAGGACCGGAGUGGACGCAUCACUGGUGUUCGGGUUGUCAUGCCAAUGGCACUGCCCGGUAGCUAAAUGCGGAAGAGAUAAGUGCUGAAAGCAUCUAAGCACGAAACUUGUCCCGAGAUGAGUUCUCCCUGACUCCUUGAGAGUCCUGAAGGAACGUUGAAGACGACGACGUUGAUAGGCCGGGUGUGUAAGCGCAGCGAUGCGUUGAGCUAACCGGUACUAAUGAACCGUGAGGCUUAACCUU
rnacentral:rRNA from 1 species